GGCUGAGUGAGGAGACGCUGCCAGCCACUGCCAUAAGAAGCAAGAUGUAAAGAUACUGAGCUACAUUGCCAUGAUCACAUUCUGCCCUGCUCCUCUGAUUGACAGCAUAAUUUGGACUUAAUACAGCUCUGGGAUGCCCUCAGUAUCACCUGCAGGACACCAUUUUCACACCUUCAUGUUGGGACAGGAAAUACUAUCUGUUUGCUCACUCAUACUUCUCAGUUCAUGUAUCCCCGAGGAAAGGGGGCCCAGGGGGAGCUGCACUUGAGAUGGGAUCUCCUGUAGCCCAGGCUGGUUUCAAACUCUCUGUGUAGACACAGAUGACCUUCUGUGGCUAAUCUCCUUCUACCUCCCAAGUAUUGUGAUCACAGGCCUGCAAUUUCUUUUCAUCUCAUCAUUUUACUGGCUCCCACAGGUGGUAUUGGGAGGCAGUAAAAGAGAAAGGAAUUGAACUCACAGGAAUGAUGCUUUCCAAAACACUUUCAAGCACUUGGGUUUCUGCUGACAAUAUGUAGGGGGUGGCAGGAAGAUAGAUGUUCUAUGGUUAAACCCAACCCAACUCCUACCUUUCUUGGAUAACAACUUUCCUUUCUCUAGUUUCUUUAAACUCUAUUUGUCAAAACCUACUUAUUCUUCCAUGUGAGAUGUUUGUUUGUGUGAAAACUCUCCAAUGGCUUUCUUCCAUUCACACACUUCAGUAAUUGUUCUGGUCAGUAUUUCCUGGUACUCAUUUAUGAAAGUAAGCAUGCAUAUGUCACACAUUUUAUGCCCCUCAUUGUUGUAUGCACAAUAUUAAUUUCCUUUUAACACUUUACUUUCAACCACUUUAAUUCUCACAAUUCUAUCUUAGUAGAUAGAUACUUUUACCAUCCCAAUCUUAGCAAGGAAAAUAAGCACCAUUAUCAGAGAAGGUAAGUUUUAAAUGGUGAGUUCACAGAUGCCAAACAGACCCAGCAAUUGUUCCACAUGAACUGAGUGGCACGCAUAAAGGCCUGAAGGCAUGAUAGCAUUGGAUAUGAUUGUUCAUUAACGUAUUAAGUCACAGGGCUGGGCCUUGGCUACAGGCCAGCUACUGUACUUCGUUUGUAAUUCAGGCAGUGAUAAACAGAUGGAGGGGAGAAGAUGGUGCUGCCAGCAGUCUAUUCUCAUUGGUGUACAAAGCCUGCAGAGCAAAAGUAAGCUGGGUUUGUUCAUGAAAGUACCACGUGCAUUGGCAGGCAACUGGGACUUCAUCCAUUGUGUGCUGGGUACAUAGAAGAGCUUGAAUAGAGGGAUGAGAAGGUGACUAUAUCUGCCCAUGCAAUGUCAUGAAGUGAUCCCUUCCUUCUUAAAAAUAUAAAGUGCUUUGAACUUAUUAUGUGUUUUCUCAAGAUUUAAUUAAAACUGGAUUUGCAUUAAGCACCUGUAAAUUCCUAAAUGAGCAACAAGAUCCACUGUUGAGUCUUUGGAGACUCUGUGAUUUCUAAAAGACACUUUAUGCUUGAAAGUAUUCAGUGAUGCAUGUAGAACUGACUUUCUCUUACUAAUUUGACUCUGACUCCCCCCUACAAACGUCUGUCUUUUUUGCUUUAGCAGAUUAAAGUGCAGCGGAAAUGUACCAACACAGUGACAUUUUCUAUUUGCAGUAGGUCAUGCAAGAUCACCUGCCCUCUAGACUACAUCUUGAGAACACAAUUUAAUCAGUGCAUUUUCAAAAGCCCAGGGCAUAUCCUAUCAUACAGGAAUUGUAAAGUCCACUGAAAAACACUGUAACUAUAGAACAUGUUUGGUUUCUUAAAGUUCUAUGAGGAAAAUAAUUAUAUUUGAGCAAGAAGAUGUGUAUCUGUAUAUGUGGUUAUAUCUUGAAGUCAUCAUCAGUAAAGCAUGAAAAGUACUUUAUUAUACUCAGCUAAUUUUUAAAUAUAUAUCCUUUUCAUUUUGUAUCCUUCUACCAGACAAACAAACAAAAAAGAAAUAUAAAUAACUCAUGUAAGGUGGUUAAUCUUGUAGGUCGAUCAAUGCUGAUUUAGGGCUGCAUUCUUACAGCAGUCAAGAUAUUUUUCUUUGGAAAAAGAAAUCUACCAUGUUUUGCCUUCUCUCAUAAUGAAGUAAGUUUUUUUUUCUAUUUUUCAAGCAUUCCUUUUUUUCUUGAUGCCUUUUAUUCUGCACCCUUAAACCCAGAUAAUUGUAUUCAUUCAUAAAGUAAUCUGAACACAUUUUAAAUGACAUUUACAAAUAUUCCCAUAACACUAUCAGUGCCCUUCAACAUGAAUGAAAUUCAAUGUUCCCUCUAUAGGGGCCUUGAACAUUACCCAACUUAUCACUGGCACAUCUAUCAUAGAAUGAAAGGAUGCUGUGGAGAUGCAUAGUUGACCAGUACUAUUUGUAGAGCAUCUUCCCCCCCAAAAAAAUAGCAGUGUCAUUUUAACCUUGAAAGGUGAAAAGUGAUUUUUGUAUAAUGAUGAAAUUGAUCGUGUUAUCCUCUUCUGUUUUUUUUUUUAAUCACAGGUGCUAUUCCAUCUAGAUUAGAUCAGAGGAAGUUGAAAUAAUCCACUGCAUAGUAGAUUGUAUCUUUCUUCCUAUCACAGUAGAAAUUUUCCAUUUAUUUAAAAAUUUCAAGAGUAUUGUGAUUGCUUCUGUUUCUCUUCUCCAUCAUCAUAUGCCAAGAACUCAGUCAGGUGCA